UAAUAAGUGUUUUAUGGCACUUUUUAAAUCCAUAUCCACCUUGUGUGCAAUGUCGGUCGAUCUUCUUCAUUUGAGGAUCGACCAAACAUCAACCUUUAUCUUUUAACUCUUUGUCUGAAAAAUAUUAUGAAUAAACAAUUCAAAAUA
rnacentral:misc_RNA from 1 species